CACAUGUUUCAAAGUCAGAAGCGAAAACGUCGCAGAUAAAAGUCAAAUCUUGAACACUUUUCCUCUUCAUCUUCUGCUCUUUCAUUUCACUUCACAAAAUGCACAAAAGAAAAAUUAAUUAUAAUUCUGGCGUUAGUUAAACAAGAACUAUAUCGUCGGCGACCGGCGGCGGCAGCUCCACCCCAGACCCUUCCCCUGACCCACCAAAUUUCGACCUGGAAAGAGACAGUCUUCCUCCUAAUUCUCCAGUUUUAUUUCUCAAGAAACCUGGAAUUUUUGUGGGCGUUUGUCGUUUUGCUUGUUUAAUAUGUGAAAAUGUGAAGAGGGUUUGGUGAAUUUGAUUUUAGUUUGUCUCUGUAUGCUGUAUCAAGAAAUCUUUUCUUGUUUGGUUCUUUUUCUAGUUAGCUGAAUUUAAUUCAAUUUAGUUCAAGAUUUGAUUUUGUUUAGUCUUGCAUUUGGGGGUUCUGAGGAAAUGUUGAAGAAGUAGAGUGUAUAUGUUUUGGUACCCAUGGAGCUUCACGUUUUCCAGGUUUCUGCAUUAUCUUGAUCACUUGAAAAUGAUGUCAACUUGAGAUGUGUUGAAUGUAUUGAACAGUGAUGGACAUGACACAAAAUUAUCUGACUUGGAGAACAAGACUUAGAUGAUGCAUCAACAAUAAAUAAUGGAAGCUCUGUACCACCACAUCCUGUUUCGGAAGGUUUUGUUGUUGGAGAGCCAACGAAUGGGCAUGUAAAGGAAGAAGUUGUCAGCCAACCAAAGAGGGGAGCAAAGAUUCACGACUUUUUUUCUUGGAAUUCCGUUUGGAUACACUACUUCUUUUGGCUCGCUCAGUUGAUUGUCAAAGCAGUUAUUCUGGAAACUAUGUUUUUCAUGGGGUGGGCUUGUCUUCAGUGGGGGGCUUGUUGGCUUUAUUUUCUCAAGAAGCCCUGUUACUUAAACGACCGGUGUGCUCUUUGGAGGUGCUCUUCUGGCCCUCAGCACUCUUAGUUUGAAGGUCUGGAAACGAGGAAAAUCCAGCUUCCCCUUCAUACUCGGUGAAGCAGAUUAAAAACUCUUCCCCACAGGCUUUAAUAUUGUCAUCAGCAAUGUUGUGCUUCUACACUUACGUGGUGAAUAUCCGGAGGUAACCCUCGCCAAAGAAGUUAAAAGACUUCCACACCUGUUGCGUCAUCUUAGGCCUCCAGUAUACAAAAUGAGGCAAUUCUCAAGAUUACUCAGAAAAUUCUCUCUUUUACCAGUGGAGGUGAGUCUGUACGGUAUUGAGAUCACAAUUCUCCAUUUCAAGUAUUAAGAUGUUAGAAUAUAGAUUAUAAAACCUUACCUUAAUGAAAUUGUUAUCAGGAGUGUAUUACCAGAAACCUGUCUAAACAAACGUGGUGUUGUAGCCCAGUUUGAGUUAUUAACACGAACUUGAUUGCGUUA